rnacentral:rRNA from 1 species
CCUACGUGAGGCAGCAGUGGGGGAUAUUGGACAAUGGGGGGAACCCUGAUCCAGCGACGCCGCGUGAGUGAAGAAGUAUCUCGGUAUGUAAAGCUCUAUCAGCAGGGAAGAAGAAAUGACGGUACCUGAGUAAGAAGCCCCGGCUAACUACGUGCCAGCAGCCGCGGUAAUACGGAGGGGGCAAGCGUUAUCCGGAAUUACUGGGUGUAAAGGGAGCGUAGACGGUGAUGUAAGUCUGGAGUGAAAGGCGGGGGCCCAACCCCCGGACUGCUCUGGAAACUAUGUGUCUGGAGUGCAGGAGAGGUGAGCGGAAUUGCUAGUGUAGCGGUGAAAUGCGUAGAUAUUAGGAGGAACACCAGUGGCGAAGGCGGGUCACUGGACUGUAACUGACGUUGAGGCUCGAAAGCGUGGGGAGCAAACAGGAUUAGAUACCCUUGUAGUC